rnacentral:sRNA from 1 species
UUUUAGCCCUGAUAGAUGUAUAAAUCCUUUUCCUUUUUUUCUUAAAAAAGGAAAAGAUUACUUCGCCAGUUCGCUUU